ensembl:lncRNA
CUUCUUUCAUGUGAGUAUUCUCCCUUGAGUAGUUUGAGUGCUUUCUGAUUCUCUCUGGUUGCAGCUAAACAUUGAAAGCUGGUGUCAGAAACAUCACAAAUUCAGGCUUUUUCUCCUUUCAGCUCCGAGAGCUUCUUUGAUAGGGAGCCAGUGACAUCAUUUCACAACACAGGACGUAAACGAGCAGUUCCCAACCUUUUUCUUUACUUUUUAUUUUUUCAGAGGAGUAUUUGAUGACCACGACCUUAUCCUUUUCUGCUGCUUCUCUGUUGCUGCCCAUGCACAUCCCCUGAUGCACAGCAUGUAUCCCUUCAUCUUGAUCAUCACUGGAAAAGGCGAGAGUGUACAAAGUUAAACAGCAAAAAUAUAGCUGACGCUUGUUUCUCCAGGGGGUGAUAACAGCAAGGCUCCUUCCCUCUGGAAACAUAUACAAUUUUGCUGGAGUAAUAAAAACACCAAAGAGGAGAACCAGCAGCAGACACAGGACUGGUUUGAUUUUAUUUUCUCACCUCUGUGGAGAGCGAAGCAGUAAAAUCUUUCAAGAGGCCUGCGUCUGGGUAUCCCGCUGCUGCCUUCAGCCCCAUCUCCUGAGCAGUAGGAGUGGUGGCUUCACAGCCUUUUCAAGUUAUUCAGAAUCAGUUUCCAGUGUGCAAAUGUUAUCUAGAAGCAUGAAGACAGCUCUGGGAAAAGAAACAGCUUUGCAUCAACAUGAGACACAGCUCAUAUUCUCUUUUACAUGAGGAUGUAACUAGCUCUGUUUUACCUGACGUGAAUGUAAAUUGAUUUUCCUCCUCGUUCCCAUGAUGAAUUAUCUUCCUCAAGCUGUGCUACUGAGUGGUCAGAAAACACAGAAAGAAUGUGUCAGGAGCUUGAAGAAGAAGCAAAACAAUGGCCAUGUGAACAGAACAUGUGGAAAAAUCAGAACACAAGAAGGAGAAAAGGAGCCAUGAUGUUAAAGCUCUGUGAUGAAGUGGGAAUUAAGCAGCAUGCCAUCCUGCCACCACUCCCUCACCAUUGACCGGUGUUUCGCAUGGACCAUGGGAGGCUCUUUGUUCUGGAGGCAGGAGAGCCCAUGGAACAAAUGGUCCUGGCUGUAUGCAAAUAAUGUCACUUUUGGGAGGCAGAACAUGUGGCAGAACUGCUAUGUAAGUUCAUGUCAUCUGGCCUGCGUUUACAGAUCUUACCAAGACAUGUUGCAGAUGAAAUUGACUUACUGCUGUCUUUUCUCUGUAACAGAGGGUCUGUGCUGCUGAAGUGUUCACAAAAGCUGAG